UGGAGCUCUUAUAUAGGGGCUGGCCAGUUCACGUUCGGGGGCCGAACGUGCCCCCACAUCUCAUGCAUGUUCGGCGGUCGAACAUGAGGUUCGGCGGCCGAACCUGGUUUCUUUCAAACAAAACUUUCGGAGGCCAAAAGUGCUCCCAAAACCUAUCCACGUUCGGCGGCCGAACAUGACUUUCGGCGGCCGAACCUGGUAAAGGUUCCAUGGUCUUUUUCAUUUAAAAACUCAAAUUCUUUCUUACUUGAAAAUCAUUAAAACAUGAAAACAUUUGUGAAAACAUGA
rnacentral:lncRNA from 1 species